AAUUGUAUCUCUGCACUGGGAAGAUUCUCGGCAGGCUUUGAUAUUGAUUCUAGGAACUCCAAAUACGCAUGAUCUUUUAAUAUUGUGCACUCACGGCCAUCUUUCUUAGACCACUGCUUUGGAACACGCUGCGAAGGAGCAUAUUCAACAAUAGCCCUAAACUGAGUGCCCUUCUCAUUGACGAAGAGAUGGCCAUUAAAGAACUCUGCAAACUCAAUAACAUCUUCUGGCCUUUUGAAGUCAAUAUAGGCUCUAGAAUAGGAUUGAUGUUUCUGGCUGUUCUUGCCAGGACGGAACGAAACCCAGUUAUAACGCCCAGCAAAGGCAAAGUCGAUUUGCUCCAUGAACAUGACCAGAGAAAUCGUCGGUGGCAAGUGGCGCACCACCACCUUCGUCUUCUCAGAUUGACCCUUCAUGCCUUUAAAAACCUAAAAACCAAACAAAAAAACAAACAAAAAAAACCCUAAAAAUCCCAAAUCCCCAAAUCGAAACUAUCUUUCGCAAUUAUCUAUCCCUUCUUCCAAAUAGAUUUGAAAAGCUCGAAAAUCUGUAACAGUUUACAUCUUCUUCAUGAAGCAAUAGAUUCGAUCGAGAGCGAUUUUGACGCCUAAUUGCGGAAUUGUGCCCCAAUCGCCAUGCAAGAGAGUUAUAGAGAGGAAAAGAAGAGCACAGAGAGAGUGAAAAGAAG
rnacentral:misc_RNA from 1 species